UUUUUUUUUACCUCAUUGUCUUUACUUACUUUUUUUUUUUCUCUCAAAUACUUUCUCAUGUCCGUGUCUCUUUAAGUUCAUAUUAGUCCAAAGGAGAAAAUAGGACUUGGGGAUCUGGGGAACACGGGGUGGUCUCACUUUGCCAAGGGAAAGAUGAGGUUUGGGGGUUCCUGGGCUGAGUAACUCGUACUGAGGUCGCGAUCUAAGUAGUCCUCGAUUACCUGAAGAUGUAGUGUAGAAGCCUGUGACUUACAGUGAGGCUGGCCCUAGAACUUCACUUCCCAGGAGGUUUCAGGCAUCGAGUGGAGACUGUGUCCGACAGCGGAGUGGGACUUGGUCGCAGUUCGCAGAACCUGCCCAGCCCAACUCAAGACGCCCGGGAGGCUCUGGCGUUCGAAUGGCUCUGGAGAACGAUCGGAUUGAGAACCCCCGAGCCAAUCCCUAACUGCGAUCUUCUCUCUCCGAGUCUCCCUAUCCCCCAGGAGCUUGUUUUAGAGACGGUUGUCUUAUGAGCCACUCCCUGGAUGGAAGGGAUUUGAGGAUGGGGUGAGGUGUGUGUACGUCAGGGAGACUGAGCCAGCUUUCCUGUAUGUGAAUCUGAUGGAGGGUACCUCUCUGUCCCAGCCUCACACGUCCAUGUGAAGCCCCGGAAUCAACUACCCUUGGUGGAGAAGGAUGUGUGUGAAGUGUCAAACGGGCUUGUGGUGGUCUCCAUCUGUCAUCCAGGCUGGAGUCCAAUGGUGUGAUCAUAGCUCACUGCAGCCUCGAUCUCCCAGGCUCAAGCAAUCCUCCCACCUCAGCAUCCCAAGUAGCUGGGACUACAGAGAUGGGGUCUAGCUGUGUUGCCCAGGCUGAAGUCCAGUGGCUUUUCACAGGCACAGUCAUACCACACUGAAUCUUGAACUCCUGAGAUCAAGCAAUCCUCCUGCCUCAGCUUCCAAAGUAGCUGGAAUUACAAGUGCUGGCCACUCUGCCUGGUUACAAUUCUUUUUAUUGCUGAAUAAUAUUCCAUUAUGUGGAUAUCCUAUACUUUGCUUAUCUAUUCAUCAGUUGAUGGACAUUUGGGUUGUUUCUACUGUUUGGCUAUUAUUAACACUGCUGUGAACAUGUACAAAGUUUCGUGUGGACAUAUGUUUUAAUUCUCGUGGGUAGAAAACUAUGAGUGAAAUUGUUGGGUCACAAGGUAAAUUUAUGUAAAACCAUUUUUUAAAAAUUUUUUUGAGAUGGAGUCUCACUCUGUUGCCCAGGCUGAA